AUUAAACUACAAAACAGACCACACGAGCCACAGGGCCAGCACAAAAGAAUUUCAAUUUCAAGCUCAGCGUCUUGGUCUUUGAGGAGUGGAACAACGCGGCCCAACAACAAACCAAACCAAACCAAACCAAAGCAAACCGAACAGCACGAGCGCUCACCUUGGACUGACGUGCACAGGUAACGUUUACCAUUCCUUAAGCACUUGGCCGCUCGGUUGGCUGUUAGCUGCUGCCGCUGCGACUGCGACUGCGACUGCGCACCGACUGCGCAACGACUGCGACGCAUUGGUCGUAACCUGUUGUUGACACUGGAAUCGGGAUUGGUCGUCGUCUGGGCCGCGGAAAACUGCAGCUAAUGCGAAUGAUGAACGCCCAAAACAGCACCAAUAAAGUUGAACCAGCGUGCAUAAGCGACGCAUAAGUCUGAUACAAAAUGCGUAUAUAUUCCGUAUUACAAAUUUAAAGUUAUUUAAAAUCUGAAAAUAUCUUGUCAGCUGUCGGUCGUCAAUGCAGGCGUAGCAUGCAAAUUUAUCCAAAUAUUGUACCAGAAACUGCAACGUAAUUCAAUUUAAUUUAAAAACAUGUACACCAGUUUAUACAAAAUUGUUUAAAUAAAUAUCGAAAAGUCUUGUUUCAAAUGGUUUUCACUUACAAAUUGGCCAUUCAAUAUAGGAUUUUUAAGAGCUACGAAAUAAUUUCCGACGCAUUUGAUCAACAUUUAUCAUCUCAACUUUUUCCCGAAGAACGUCAAUUUUGAAAGGCUCAAGGAUUGCACAUGAAAGAGAAUAGAAAUUUGCAAGUUGGGCUGAAUUAAGCAAUAUUCAUUGGUUGACUUACAAACUUUCUAGACUUACCUGAACUAAAAACAAACUCGUAUCCAAGUUUUGUAUGCUGCAUAAUUUUUUUAUAAUCAUAUGUUCAUAUUUGUAAUUUAAAAACUCCCUGUCAUAUGCCUUGACAGCAAUUUAGACCACAGCAGGAACCAAGUAAACAAAGAAUCAACAUCAAAAGUACCAUAACCAAUGCAAUUAUACAACAUACAACGAAAGAUAAAUACAUACAAUUUUGUUUUCCUGUUGCUACGGCUACUGAGAUCUGCAAACAAUCGAUGAAGUCAAUCUAAUUGAUUUAUAUGUGCACAUGAAAGGAACCCAUCCCCUAGAGGAAAUAUUCCAAUUCCAAAAGGAUAAGGACAGACCUUUGCAGGCUUAAUUAACUAAAGUGCUGGAUUGUUAUAAAAGGCAUUCGCUAGAAGAGAAUAACUUGCUGAAGAGUUACAAUGGAUAUACCAAGAACAACCGUAAAGGCAGUCAUAAAAGAGACAGCACGCGACCCGAGAAAGAAGAAGAGCCCCUCUAUUAUUUUUAUAAUUAUCGGGAUUAUUAUGUUAAUAUUAUUUUUAUGCUGUUGCUGUGUUAUUAUGAUACUCUGCUGCCCCUGUCUAGCCAUAAUGGGUUGUUGUGGCCUCUGUUGUUCUGGAGAUGAGGGUUACGAGGAAUAAAUCGCUGAGCCUCAGAAGCUGCAACACGUUCGGAUACUGAUUCAAACAAGCAAGCAAGCAACAAGAAGUCUGGCCACACUGUACAUAAACCAAAUUCAAUUGAAAUAUUGCAGUCCAAAUUUAUUGUAAUAAACGUUAGUUAAUUGGAAAGUUAAAGCAAAUAUAUUAAAAUUAAAAAUCA